rnacentral:rRNA from 1 species
GAUGAACGCUGGCGGCGUGCUUAACACAUGCAAGUCGAACGGAAAGGCCAUGAUUUUGCGGCGUGCUCGAGAGGCGAACGGGUGAGUAAAACGUGAGUAUCCUGCACCUGAAUUUGGGAUAACUUCAGGAAACUGGGGCUCAUACAGGAUAGGAGCUUCUGAUGCAUGGUGGGGGAUGGAAAGAUUCGGCGGUUGGGGAUGGACUCGCGGCUUAUCCGCUUGUUGGUGGGGUAGUGACUUACAAAGGUUGUGACGGGUAGCCGGCCUGAGAGGGUGACCGGCGACAAGGGGACUAAGGUACGGCCCAGACUCCUACGGGAGGCAGCAGUGGGGAGUAUUGCGGAAUGGGCGGAAGCCUGAUGCAGCAGCGCCGCGUGCGGGAUGACGGCCUUCUGGUUGUAAACCGCUUUCGCCUGUGACGAAGCGUGAGUGACGGUAAUGGGUAAAGAAGCACCGGCUAACUACGUG